rnacentral:rRNA from 1 species
UACGUAGGGUGCAGGCGUUAAUCGGAAUUACUGGGCGUAAAGCGUGCGCAGGCGGUUUGCCAAGACAGGUGUGAAAUCCCCGGGCUUAACCUGGGAACUGCGCUUGUUACUGGCAAGCUGGAGUGUGGCAGAGGGGGGUGGAAUUCCACGUGUAGCAGUGAAAUGCGUAGAGAUGUGGAGGAACACCGAUGGCGAAGGCAGCCCCCUGGGCUAACACUGACGCUCAUGCACGAAAGCGUGGGGAGCAAACAGG